rnacentral:tRNA from 1 species
GGACUUUGUGGUGUAAAACACGUCAGACUGCAAAUCUGAAGAUGUGGGUUAACCCCCACCCAGACCU